rnacentral:rRNA from 1 species
UUCGGACGGGGCCCGCAACAAGCGGCGAGCAUGCGGAUUAAUUCGAUGCAACGCGAAGAACCUUACCAAGGCUUGACAUACACCGGUAACGCCCAGAGAUGGGUGCCCCUUUGUGGUCGGUGUACAGGUGGUGCAUGGUUGUCGUCAGCUCGUGUCGUGAGAUGUUGGGUUAAGUCCCGCAACGAGCGCAACCCUCGUCCUAUGUUGCCAGCGGGUCAUGCCGGGGACUCAUGGGAGACUGCCGGGGUCAACUCGGAGGAAGGUGGGGAUGACGUCAAAUCAUCAUGCCCCUUAUGUCUUGGGCUUCACGCAUGCUACAAUGGCCGGUACAAAGGGCUGCGAUACCGCGAGGUGGAGCGAAUCCCAGAAAGCCGGUCUCAGUUCGGAUUGGGGUCUGCAACUCGACCCCAUGAAGUCGGAGUCGCUAGUAAUCGCAGAUCAGCAACGCUGCGGUGAAUACGUUCCCGGGCCUU